CACUCCAUCUCCUACUCUCUCUCUCUCUAAAAUCGUUCAAACCAAAACACCCUACAACACUUUCAUUUCAAUCUUCAAAAACUCAAGAAUUCAUACACUUAUGGAGGUCCAUGGAUGAAACUAGCUACAAGGGUGUUUAGAAAAGCUAUUAGGAGCCUUUUUGGUGAAACUUGAAGCUUUGGAUCAACAAGAUUUUUCUUAUCUUCAUCCUUAUUUCCUAGCAAAAAUUGUCGAGAAACGAACCGCGAACAAGGAAUCGAAUAGAGAUUUGCACGGAACGCAAAUCUGAGAUUAGUGGACGGCUUUGGAAAAAUAUGUUCA